CCGCACAAGCGGUGGAGCAUGUGUUAAUUCGACGCAACGCGAAGAACCUUACCGAGGGCUUGACAUCCCCUGACCGCGUAUGAAAGUACGUUUUCACCCUCGGGUGACAGGGAGACAGGUGGUGCAUGGUUGUCGUCAGCUCGUGUCGUGAGAUGUUGGGUUAAGUCCCGCAACGAGCGCAACCCCUACGUUUAGUUGCUAACGCGUGAAGGCGAGCACUCUAGACGAACUGCCGUUGACAAAACGGAGGAAGGUGGGGAUGACGUCAAAUCAUCAUGCCCCUUAUGUUCUGGGCUACACACGUGCUACAAUGGCCGGUACAGACGGACGCAAAGCCGCGAGGUGGAGCAAAUCCUAAAAAGCCGGUCUCAGUUCGGAUUGCAGGCUGCAAUUCGCCUGCAUGAAGUCGGAAUCGCUAGUAAUCGCAGGUCAGCAUACUGCGGUGAAUACGUUCCCGGGCCUU
rnacentral:rRNA from 1 species